rnacentral:rRNA from 1 species
GACGAACGCUGGAGGCGUGCUUAACACAUGCAAGUCGAACGAUGAAAUGGAGCUCGCUCCAUGGAUUAGUGGCGAACGGGUGAGUAACACGUGAAUAACCUGCCCUUAAUUUUGGAAUAACCCAGGGAAACCUGGGCUAAUACCGGAUAAGUAAACCUGUGGCAUCACAUGGUUUUGGAAAGUUUUUCGAUUAAGGAUGGAUUCGCGGCCUAUCAGCUUGUUGGUGAGGUAAUGGCUCACCAAGGCGACGACGGGUAGCCGGCCUGAGAGGGUGAACGGCCACACUGGGACUGAGACACGGCCCAGACUCCUACGGGAGGCAGCAGAGGGGAAUAUUGCGCAAUGGACGAAAGUCUGACGCAGCGACGCCUCGUGAGGGACGAAGGUCUUCGGAUUGUAAACCUCUUUCAGCAGGGACGAAGCGAAAGUGACGGUACCUGCAGAAGAAGCACCGGCUAACUAUGUGCCAGCCGCCGCGGUAA